CCCACCCUUCUCUCACUCUCUCUCGAUCUCGAUCGAUCGAAGGUAGGCUGCGGCAGAGAAAGGCAGGAUUUAGGAUACGAGAACUAGGAAGACUCUGUGACGAGGGAGACGCUGCCGUUGGCUGCCUAAUUCACUGUCGCAUAACAAUAGCUUUGUCCGGGCAUCCGAUUAAACAUGUCUCAGAUGGAUGAGCUUCAAAGGAGUAGGAUUCUCAACUGCGUCCAGGCGUUCUGUGCUGCAAGAUAUACCAGGGAGGACAACGUUCCAUGUCAGAUUGAGGAGGGUUUGUUUCUGGGUUCAGUUGGCGCGGCGCUUAACAAGUCAGCGUUGAAAGACUUGAACAUCACCCACAUCUUAACGGUGGCCAAAUCCCUGGACCCUGCAUUUCCUAUUGACUUCGUCUAUAAGAAGAUUGAUGUGUUUGACACCCCAGGCACAGAGUUGGAUAAGUAUUUUGAUGAAUGCUUUAGUUUCAUCGAUGAAGCUAGAAGUGCAGGUGGUGGCGUGUUGGUUCAUUGCUUUGCAGGAAUGUCAAGAAGUGUCACUGUUGUUGUUGCUUAUUUGAUGAAGAAGCAUCGGAUGAGUCUUUCGGAUGCAUUGGCACUAGUUAGGAGCAAGCGACCACAUAUAGCCCCUAAUCAUGGUUUUCUUACUCAAUUGGCGAACUUCGAGAAAUCUCUUGGAGUGAAUCGAGGCACAAGUUCUAUCUAAGUUGAUCCAAAAGUCAGCAUUCGGAGGUUAGAUUUCUUUUGGGACAUUUUGUUUGUCAGGUUACUGUGAAAGCUUUGGGAGCUGGAGAGUUCUCUUAUCCAAGGAUUUCUUGUACAUGUCUUCAGAGAAUAAGAGCAUGGGAUAGAUGGACUGUUGGGACCUACAUGCCAACACCGCAGGUUCUUCACCAAGAGCUAUUUUCCUUUUCUACAAAAAAAAUUCUCACAUAUACUAGUCACAGUAUUGUAAUAUACUUGCUUUGAUUGCAUGACACAGUAGAAAUCUGGCUUCUAAAGUGACAUGAUAUAUGUAAACAAAAUUGUGUUCUUUUCCAAGUUCAAAUGAUAAACUCAGCACAUUUGUA